rnacentral:lncRNA from 1 species
CAAGAAUAUAGUAGCCUCUUAAAAGAAUCUGAACAGCUUUCUAUUUUUCUUUUUCUAUUUUGUGAGACAAAAAGUUACAAAAGGAACUUUACUGCAUGACAUUGAGAAUCACAACUCUGUUUAACUCUAGGAAAUCUCAGUUAUAUUCUACAGGAAAGGCACCCACUGAAAUACCUAAAGAUGCAAGAUGGCUGAUGUUUUGUUACAAUAGUUUUUUCUAUUUAAUAAAGCAUUUACCAGAUGUUUUUCUACCAACAUAAAUAAAUAAACCAAUAAAACUCCUAUUGUUUUACAAAUGUGUUGUUUUCA